GUAGGUGGCAAGCGUUGUCCGGAAUUAUUGGGCGUAAAGCGCGCGCAGGCGGUUCUUUAAGUCUGAUGUGAAAGCCCACGGCUCAACCGUGGAGGGUCAUUGGAAACUGGAGAACUUGAGUACAGAAGAGGAAAGCGGAACUCCACGUGUAGCGGUGAAAUGCGUAGAGAUGUGGAGGAACACCAGUGGCGAAGGCGGCUUUCUGGUCUGUAACUGACGCUGAGGCGCGAAAGCGUGGGGGAGCAAACAGGAUUAGAUACCCUGGUAGUCCACGCCGUAAACGAUGAGUGCUAAGUGUUAGGGGGUUUCCGCCCCUUAGUGUUGCAGCUAACGCAUUAAGCACUCCGCCUGGGAGUACGGCCGCAAGGCUG
rnacentral:rRNA from 1 species